CGUGUUUUCUAUGCGGCGCACAA
rnacentral:snRNA from 1 species